UAGCUUAAUUUGCUGGUCAAAUAAAACACGUCUUUAAUCAAUUCAAUGGCAGCUUUCAUUUUAAAAGUUGCAGUGUGGGACCACUAUCGGUGCUGCUACACUGCCACUGAAAGAAAGAGAAAUCAGUUUGUAUAUAGGAAGUUGAUUGUCAAAUGUUGAUAAUGACGAAACUAAUGGUGACCAUUCUGCGAAAAGAGCUAAUGUGUCAACGAUGUUGGUGGUGUUGGGUCAGUUACCUUCUUGAAAUAUAAUUCAGCCUCGUAUAAAAAUGGGUGAACCAUCGAAUAGUGAUAAUAUAAGUAAUGAUUGCCUCAUUUGUGACAAAAUCGGAUGUAGUUCUGAAUUAAUCUCUGAACUAGGAGAUACUAUAAAAGUCACUAGAGGAAUAUCAACACUGAAAGCUGCUUCUGCGGAAAGAGCGGAUGGACUUUCUCAGUAUUUAAAAACUCGCGAAUUUGUAUACGUGCAUUCAGUAUGCAGACAAAAAUAUAUCAAUAAAGGGUGUAUUAAUUCUUAUUUAAAAAAAAAAAACACCACACCAGCAUGCUCUCCACCUAAAAAAACUUCGAGCGGUUACUUCAAUUGAUUUUGAUUGGAAAAAUAUGUGCUUUUUUUGUGAAAAAGAAGCGGAUGAAUUGAAGGAAAAAAGAAAAUCCAAAUCUUCAAGACACCAAAUCAGCUACGUAACUACUUCUGAUUUCAAGAAAAUGAUAUUAAAUUUGAUAAGUGAAGAGAGAAGUGACAAUAUGCAAUAUCCAUAAAAGAAUUGUAGGCGUGCUAGAUUUAGCAGCUCAGGAAGCUAAGUAUCACGCGGAUUGUUAUAUGCGUUUAAAAAAUACCGUAAAACAGACCCAGA